rnacentral:lncRNA from 1 species
AGACCGCCCAUUUCAGUGGGCCUCUGUGUUUGGAGAGAUGAACUUCUAAAGACUGGAACACUUCCUCCUGUCCGGCCAGAAGAGAUUUCCUGACACCACAGCUGGAAACCCGUGUGCAUUUCAGUUCAGGAAAGAAUGCGCGGUUUUCCCUAUAUCCGGAACUCGCCCCUGCGCAUUCCAAUACCUGAAGCGACCACAGGGUACGGGACAUGGAGCCCUGCGACAGUAAGAGUCGCGGCGCUAGACAAAGCCUGAUAUCACUCCGCUUCCAGAAGCCGGAUCCCCAUAAACUACGCUCUAGCUCCUCCCACUGCCGAUGUGGGUAACCCGGACGAGGAAGAACCUCGUCUGCGGAGGAAAAGUCCCAGGUGCCGGGUCAGUCUCCAUACACAGCCGCCGCCAUUGCCUCGAGUCCUUGUGUCUGACUGUCUGUUCCUGCUGCUGUAUGACACAGCACCUCGAGGCAAGGAAACAAGAAAACUGCCUCUGA